GUGGGGAAUCUUGCGCAAUGGGCGAAAGCCUGACGCAGCCAUGCCGCGUGAAUGAUGAAGGUCUUAGGAUUGUAAAAUUCUUUCACCGGGGACGAUAAUGACGGUACCCGGAGAAGAAGCCCCGGCUAACUUCGUGCCAGCAGCCGCGGUAAUACGAAGGGGGCUAGCGUUGCUCGGAAUUACUGGGCGUAAAGGGCGCGUAGGCGGACAGUUUAGUCAGAGGUGAAAGCCCAGGGCUCAACCUUGGAAUUGCCUUUGAUACUGGCUGUCUUGAGUACGGGAGAGGUGAGUGGAACUCCGAGUGUAGAGGUGAAAUUCGUAGAUAUUCGGAAGAACACCAGUGGCGAAGGCGACUCACUGGCCCGUUACUGACGCUGAGGCGCGAAAGCGUGGGGAGCAAACAGGAUUAGAAACCCUAGUAGUC
rnacentral:rRNA from 1 species